rnacentral:tmRNA from 1 species
GGGGGUGUUCUGGAUUCGACAUGUGUAGUAGCGUGCAGGCUGCAUUUAGGGUUUCGUGUCCCUCUAAAAACACACAGUUUAUUAUAACUGCAAAAAAUAAUAAUAACUACGCAUUAGCUGCCUAAAAACAGUCUAAGCGUGAUCCAUUCUAAUUUCGCCCGAGGGUUGGAAAUGGGUCUCAAAAUUAUUGGGCUACGUUUAACUGUGCAUUCUGAAUAGUUAAAAAGAGAUCAUCGGAAUAGUCACUGUGGUUAGCCUUGUUGUAUGGCGUUCAGAGUGGCGAAACAAUAAAUGAUACAACUAUGAGUGUAGAUGCUUGCAUAGCAUUAUGCUUGGACAGGGGUUCAAUUCCCCUCACCUCCA